rnacentral:rRNA from 1 species
GAGAUCAGGUUCCUCAUGGAUGAACUUGAGGCCAUGCACGCAUUUCUCCUCAAAAUGUCAGAGGACGAGGAUCCUGAUGUGCAAGACAAAGUUUGGGCAAACGUGGUCAGGGAGCUCUCCUACGACAUGGAGGACACCAUCGACGACUUCAUG